GGGGUUGUGGCUCAGUGGUAGAGUGCUCACCUAGCAUGUGUGUGGCACUGGGUUUGAUCCUCAGCACCACA
rnacentral:tRNA from 1 species